AUGGCGUCCAUCAACUGCUACUACUCCUUGGUGUUGGUGGUGGUUGCACUGGCCUUGGUGCCGUUGGCCGCCGUGGCCGGCGACCCGGACAUCCUCAGCGAUUUCGUAGUGCCGACUUCCAUGAUCGGCAUGCCACCGAUGAACAUCACCGGCGACUUCUUCACCUACACCGGCUUCAGCAACAUGACCAUGCCGAUGCCGACGCAGAACUUCACGGUGACCAAGGCCACCAUGGUGGAAUUCCCUGCACUCAACGGGCAAAGCGUAGCCUACGCCAUGCUCAAGUUCCCCUCCGAAUCCGUGAACCCGCCACACACCCACCCCCGUGCCGCCGAGCUGCUGCUCGUCCUUGACGGCGCGCUCUCCGUCGGCUUCGUCGACACGGCCGGCAAGCUCUACACGCAGGACCUGGCCGCCGGCGACAUGUUUGUGUUCCCCAAGGGCCUGGUGCACUACCAGUCCAACCCGGGGCAAAGCCCCGCCGUGGCGCUCUCCGCGUUCGGCAGCUCCGCGCCUGGCACCGUGUCCGUGCCUGUCACCGUGUUCGGCACCGGCGUCGAUGAUGCCGUGCUCGCCAAGUCAUUCAAGACCGACCUGCCCACCGUGCAGAAGCUCAAGGCGGCGCUCACUCCACCGCCCAAGAAGUGA
rnacentral:rRNA from 1 species